rnacentral:rRNA from 1 species
GACGAACGCUGGCGGCGUGCUUAACACAUGCAAGUCGAACGAAGUGGCGAACGGGUGAGUAACGCGUAAUCAACCUGCCCUUCAGAGGGGGACAACAGUUGGAAACGACUGCUAAUACCGCAUACUGAAGGAGGGGAUUGCGUCUGAUUAGCGAGUUGGAGGGGGAACGGCCCACCAAGGCGAGGAUCAGUAGCCGGUCGGGGAGGAUGGACGGCCAAAGUGGGACUGAGACACGGCCAAGACUCCUAAGGGAGGCAGCAGUGGGGAAUCGUCCGCAAGGGACGAAAGUCUGACGGAGCAACGCCGGGGGGGGGAUGACGGCCUUCGGGUUGGAAAGCUCUGUUAAUCGGGACGCGGUACCGGAAUAGAAAGCCACGGCUAACUACGUGCCAGCAGCCGCGGUAAUAC